UACGUAGGGGCAAGCGUUGUCCGGAUUUAUUGGGUCGUAAGAGCGUGUAGGCGGCCAGGUAGGUCGGUUGUGAAAACGUGGACGGCUCAACCUUCAGACGUCGACCGAAACCAUCUGGCUAGAGUCCGGGAGAGGAGAGUGGAAUUCCUGGUGUAGCGGUGAAAUGCGCAGAUAUCAGGAAGAACACCCGUGGCGAAAGCGGCUCUCUGGAACGGUACUGGACGCUGAGACGCGAAAGCGUGGGGAGCAAACAGG
rnacentral:rRNA from 1 species